rnacentral:rRNA from 1 species
GCCCAGACUCCUACGGGAGGCAGCAGUGGGGGAUAUUGCACAAUGGGGGAAACCCUGAUGCAGCGACGCCGCGUGGGUGAAGAAGCGCCUCGGCGCGUAAAGCCCUGUCAGCAGGGAAGAAAAUGACGGUACCUGAAGAAGAAGCCCCGGCUAACUACGUGCCAGCAGCCGCGGUAAUACGUAGGGAGCAAGCGUUGUCCGGAAUUACUGGGUGUAAAGGGAGCGUAGGCGGGAUGGCAAGUUGGGUGUUAAAUCUACCGGCUCAACUGGUAGUCGCACUCAAAACUGCUAUUCUUGAGUGAAGUAGAGGCAGGCGGAAUUCCUAGUGUAGCGGUGAAAUGCGUAGAUAUUAGGAGGAACACCAGUGGCGAAGGCGGCCUGCUGGGCUUUUACUGACGCUGAGGCUCGAAAGUGUGGGGAGCAAACAGGAUUAGAUACCCCGGUACC